AUUGAACGCUGGCGGCAUGCCUUACACAUGCAAGUCGAACGGUAACAGGUCUUCGGAUGCUGACGAGUGGCGAACGGGUGAGUAAUACAUCGGAACGUGCCUAGUAGUGGGGGAUAACUACUCGAAAGAGUGGCUAAUACCGCAUGAGAUCUACGGAUGAAAGCAGGGGAUCGCAAGACCUUGUGCUACUAGAGCGGCCGAUUGCAGAUUAGGUAGGUGGUGGGAUAAAAGCUUACCAAGCCGACGAUCUGUAGCGGGUCUGAGAGGACGAGCAGCAGCACUGGGACUGAGAAACGGCCCAGACUCCUACGGGAGGCAGCAGUGGGGAAUUUUGGACAAUGGGCGCAAGCCUGAUCCAGCAAUGCCGCGUGCAGGAUGAAGGCCUUCGGGUUGUAAACUGCUUUUGUACGGAACGAAAAGCCCCGGGUUAAUACCCUGGGGUCAUGACGGUACCGUAAGAAUAAGCACCGGCUAACUUCGUGCCAGCAGCCGCAGUA
rnacentral:rRNA from 1 species